rnacentral:rRNA from 1 species
UACGGGGGGAGCAAGCGUUGUUCGGAUUUACUGGGCGUAAAGGGCGCGUAGGCGGCCAGCACAAGUCAGUUGUGAAAUCUCCGGGCUUAACUCGGAAAGGUCAACUGAUACUGUGCGGCUAGAGUGCAGAAGGGGCAACUGGAAUUCUCGGUGUAGCGGUGAAAUGCGCAGAUAUCAGGAGGAACACCCGUAGCGAAGGCGGCACUCUGGGCCGAUACUGACACUGAGGAGCGAAAGCGUGGGGAGCGAACAGG